rnacentral:rRNA from 1 species
GAUGAACGCUGGCGGCGUGCCUAAUACAUGCAAGUCGAGCGAACAGACGAGGAGCUUGCUCCUCUGACGUUAGCGGCGGACGGGUGAGUAACACGUGGAUAACCUACCUAUAAGACUGGGAUAACUUCGGGAAACCGGAGCUAAUACCGGAUAAUAUAUUGAACCGCAUGGUUCAAUAGUGAAAGACGGUUUUGCUGUCACUUAUAGAUGGAUCCGCGCCGCAUUAGCUAGUUGGUAAGGUAACGGCUUACCAAGGCAACGAUGCGUAGCCGACCUGAGAGGGUGAUCGGCCACACUGGAACUGAGACACGGUCCAGACUCCUACGGGAGGCAGAAGUAGGGAAUCUUCCGCAAUGGGCGAAAGCUUGACGGAGCAACGCCGCGUGAGUGAUGAAGGUCUUCGGAUCGUAAAACUCUGUUAUUAGGGAAGAACAAAUGUGUAAGUAACUAUGCACGUCUUGACGGUACCUAAGCAGAAAGCCACGGCUAACUACGG